rnacentral:rRNA from 1 species
AGGAUGAACGCUGGCGGCGUGCUUAACACAUGCAAGUCGAACGAUGAACUGGAGCUUGCUCCGGGGAUUAGUGGCGAACGGGUGAGUAACACGUGAGUAACCUGCCCUUGACUCUGGGAUAAGCACUGGAAACGGUGUCUAAUACCGGAUAUGACCUUCAGCCGCAUGGCUAGGGGGUGAAAGAUUUUUUGGCAAGGAUGGACUCGCGGCCUAUCAGGUAGUUGGUGAGGUAAUGGCUCACCAAGCCGACGACGGGUA